UAAGCAAUUUAUUUUUGAUAAAAAAAUGCAUGAAAUUUGGUAUCAGUCCAAUUUAUUGACCAUUUUAGUUAUUAAAAAUUUGAAAUAAGAACAAAUGUUAUGCGAGCCACGGUGUAUGUUCGCAAGCACCAUUUUAGCGAGCAUCAUAGUGCUCACUAAGGGAGGGUUUGGUUUGACAUUUAGGAACAAUUAGUGGUUGUUAUCUGACGUUAUCAUACAUUUGGUUUGCCUUUUUCAAUUUGUGGAAGGCCCGAGUUAUGGGCUGUGGCCCGCCUAAUAAGUGCAGUUAGUGAUGGUUAGCAUUUCUGCCCAAAAUGCUACGAUACAUAACUGGGUCUCUACUUAAAAAAAGAUAAGUUGUAUGCAUUUACUAAAAACCCCCUCCCUUUUGCCCUUGUAUCAAAAUUUUGCACAUUACGCGAAAUUACUUCAUUCAUUUCUCCUUCCUCUUCGAUUCUGCACAAAUGUCGAAGCUCUAAGCCGUUUUCUGAAGAAAGGUCGUCGAACCGCCCUAGCCAGACACACUACCUCGAGAAAAUGAGAGUUUUGGAGAAUUUCAAUGGAGCUCAGUUUUAUAAACUACAUCUACAGUAGGUCAGCCAUGCUUAUCGAUUCACUGUGUAGAAGUUUCCACCAUAAAUUGAUUUUUCUGGUCUUUUUGUUUUUUUUUGUUCUAGAUAUUGUUUUAUAAGCCAUGGUGAUGAUACUUUUCAUCAAAUAUUUGUUUAUAUAUGGCUCAAACUGCCAAGGACAUAACAUUGUGCAUAUGUUGGAGGUUUGUUCUUGAUAAUAUAUUUAGUUUUUUUUUUAUUAAUUGAUCUGAAAACCGGAGAAAUUCCUCCAAGUUAUGGAGAAGAAGGCGUUCCUCCUCCGGAGAGAACAAUACAACUUGUUGCUGAAGCGUGGCGAGCUGUCGAAUUCUUGAGCGAGGCAAAAAGGAUUACCAAUGCAUCAAAUGGUAGCACCAAAGCUUAAGAUCCCUCUUCAUGAGCAUAUUGGUUCUCAUUUGAGUAAUCUGUGAGAAACACAUAAGCCAUCGAACCAGAACAGUAGCUGUUGCUAGGAGAAGUCACAUGAUGCUUAAAUCAUCAAGAAAUUCUUGUAUGUGCAUAUACUGAUUGGUUGGUAUGUGAGAUGCAGGUAUAGUUCCAACUUCCAAGGGUUGGAUGCAAAUUGUAGGUACACGAGUUCAUAUAAACUAGUAUUCUGAAAUGCCACAAUUUGUUACAUAGUCAUAUUCAAGAUAUGCUUCUUAUGUUGUAAAAAUUGCAUUUGUGAAGUUCACUUCAUUUUGUUGGUAGUUUGUAUUUAUCUUGUAGUUCUUUCAA